GGAGGCUUGGCUGUUCACCCCUGGGUCACAAGAGCCAGCUAGCAACUCAGACUGACCUAGAGGAAAAGAGGAAUUUCCUGACUCAGCUUGGAUACGCUUCACAUCGGAUGUACUUACGUUUAUCCAAGUCAGAAGUGAAAGAGACAUUUGCCAAGACAGAGGCGUGACUAGGAAACGCACCUGGAGGCUUUAUGGACUUCCUGACCUGCUCACAGACCCCACCAAGCAUCCAGUCCUUCUGCUCAGCCCUCUGCCUUCUCUACGAGAGUUUCCAAGAGAUUUUGUCACCUACUGGGAUGAACUCCCGAUAUACCACGUCCAAGGGGCCAGGACGCCAUCACAGUAUUUCAAGAGGAACGGAGGUUUACCUUUCAACCAAACUAGAACUUCCCACCAGCAGCCCCUCCCUUGGCUGCUGACCUGAUUCCUGCUUCGCCACCUCCUGAGGAUGGAUGGACGGCUGACCCACCUAGCAGGCCAGUUUACCUAAUUCCUUAAGCUAUUCUUUCUCUGUAUGGAAAUGGUCAUGAGUGGCUUUUCACAGGAAGGGAAAGGGACCCCCUUCACAGUAUUGCCCAGAAUGUGGACAGCACAUCCUACUGAGCUAAAGAAACCUUGCUAAGAGUCCUCGGUGAUAUUUGUGUUGUGGUUGUUACUUACACUCAAGGGCUGGAGUUCCCAGUGUGGCUCAGCAGGUUAUAAAUCUGACUUGUAAGGACAAGGGUUCGGUCCCUGGCCUUGCUCAGUGGGUUGGGGAUCUGGCAUUGCCGUGAGCUGUGGUGUAGGUUACGGAUGCGGCUCAGAUCUGGUGUUGUUGUGGCUGCGGUGUUGGCCAGCAGCUGUAGCUCCAAUUCAACCCCUAACCUGGGAACC
ensembl:lncRNA